UUAAGGCAAAGUCCCAAUCUUGCUGAAAUUUGUCUCUUACAUUUUCCUUAUUUAAUUCACAUUUGCAGAUCUCAAUCCAUUAUCCACUUACUAUAGACAUACUGCUGGCCUUACAACAUGUGACAAAAAAGAAUAUUGCUUCACAAAUGUCAAACUGAGCAGACAGGUUAAACUAUGAUUUUGUUAAAUCAUAUCCAAAAUGGAAUGGGUAUUCUUUUUGUAUAUCAAACACAAAUAUAAAGGCAAAAAUUCA